UGCAGCAUAUGUGUAUGCGGCGAUGCCAGAUUGAUGCGUCUGAUCCCAAAUUCAGUGCGCCUAUUGCAAACGUUACCGUUCCUGUUGGAAGAGAAGCAAUUUUAACAUGUGUUGUUCAGGAUCUAUCAUCGUUCAAAAAUUUGUUUAAAGAUUCCUACUAAGAAAAUAUGGAAA